AUCUGGAUGAUCUGGAUGCCAUUCGGUUUCCAUUUUCCAUUCAAAGAAAAGUUGAUCUCGAAGAAGCUUCUUUUGUGGUGUUAACGGUUUUUUUCAUAAACAGCGCUGUAGAAAUCAACAAUCGUCGAUGUUGCGACAAUUUUGCCGCUUGAAAUAAUGUUAGCAGAGACGUUUUCAGCACGUGAUCUGUACUGCAAUUUUAUUUCAACCAUUGACGACACAAUUCGUUUUUUGGCAACACAAUUCGUUUUUUGGCAACACGGCGACUUUUAUCAAAUUCGAAAGAAUGUGAUAAUUGCCACAUUACUAUGUCGCUGACAAGGAGAGCAUGCAUCAGCGAUGGAAAGCAGUGGACCUGCAAGGAAUGCAGAAAAAACGUGUCAAUACGAGCCGGCUCAUUCUUUCAGAAUAGCAAGCUGAAAUUGACACAAAUUUUGGACAUUGUAUAUGGAUGGGCGAGGGAGCACCCGCAGUAUGAGGCGGCGCGUGACGCCAAAUUGGGAGAAAGAUCCACCCACACCAUAGUGGAUUGGUACAACUUUUGUCGGGACAUAACUGAACAGCACCUUGUCGACAAUCCUACCCAAGUAGGAGGAUUCGAUGAGAACACGCUGUUGUCCAAAACGGUGGAAAUUGAUGAAUCGAAAUUUUUCCAUCGUAAAUACCACCGUGGACAAUGGCGUGAAGGCCACUGGGUUUUUGGGGGUAUUGAACGGGGUAGUGGCAACUGCUUUCUGGUGGAGGUGCCAGAUAGAACGGAGAAUACCCUAACCCCAAUUAUUGAAAGAUAUGUGCUCCCAGGUACAAUUAUUAUUUCCGACGGGUGGAGGGCGUACAGAAAUAUUAACCAAAUAGGAGGUGGUAUUUAUGAACAUGAGGUAAUAACUCAUGAAGAAAAUUUCGUGAAUCCUGACGAUCCCACUAUUCACACGCAGAAUGUUGAAAAUAUGUGGAUGAGGGCGAAGAGGAAACUGAAGCGCCAAUGUGGUACAUCAGAAGCCCUCUUUACCUCUUACCUACAUGAAUUUAUUUGGCGCAAUAAAUUCAAGAGUCGGGAUAUUUUUUCAGCGUUGCUCGUGUGUGUUAGGGAGCAGUACCCAGUAUGAUAAACUAUAGUAAAAAGACUAGUGCAUAGUGGAAUGCAGAUAUAUUCAACACGAAAAAACAUUUUCUUUAAUUUUUAAACAAUAAAAAACAAAUGUUUUGCAGUGGCAACUCGUCAGAGGAGGUAUUUAUCAUUUUGAAGUACUCUUUCUUAACUUUAAUUUAUAGUUAUAUACUUUAUAGUUAUAGUACGUGAAAAUUUUUUUUUAAUAUUUAAUUUAUCCUCCGCUUUUGAAAGCCCCGCGAGCCGCCGCUGAUUUAAAAGUUAAAAUUUAAGAAAAACAUAUAUUUUUCAAUUCCGCUUCAUAAUUAUGCCAUCUAGUGGCCACAAGCUCAACUAAUGGUAGAGCGAUGUCUAUUUUGUGCGGACACACACACACACAGACACAACCGCUGAGUUCCCCACCCCAUGUCAGUUUCAUUUCAUCACCCUAUAAUGCAGGAUAACCUAGAAAUGUCCAAAUAUUGCACAUGUCUCUUGUAACGUUUACCUCAAAACUUCCGUCAAUUGUCAUCGAAUAAAAACAAAAAACAUACAAAUUUUCAAUUCUGCAUUGCGAAGAUGAUUAUGAACUAGAUAUAUAUGGAUUAGGGGCAGUCAUUUCUCCAAUAAGAUGGCGCGACACCACCACCUUCCUGUUCGAGUUUAUUUAAACCAAUUAUUUCCCAAUGGAUGAAUUGGCAGAAGAAGCCCAGUUGACUGGACAGCAAUAUCAUCAAAUUUGACUCUGCCGGAAUUCUUCCUUUAAGUUUACACAACUGGACCAAAUACUUGUGAUAAACAAAAAAUCAGAAUCUGAGAAGAAGUUUAGUGAAUAAUUCUUGAUGCCUUAGGGAAUUGUUAAGAAGAUAUUAAAAAUCGUUUAGGAGCUGCCCAAGGUGAUCGGAUUUACCGAUUUGUGUCAGUUGUUCACCAGUUAACUGUGCACUGAAAUUACAAACACCUUUAAGAAAUUUAUUUUGAACAGCAAUGUAGUGACACCGACUAUGGUUUUCAUAUAGUCUAACUUUUGAAGACAAUUUCUCAGUUUAACAGCUUGUGGACGAAUUGCAUGGAUUUAAGAUGGUCAAUCAUUGUGCAAAUAAAAUGGGGCCAUUACACUGAUAGUAAAUACAGUCAUAAUUAGUGUACCCGACGUCAUCAUUGCAAGUGUGCAACCAAUAUCACAGCAUUGGUGUUGCAAUACGCGAUUUGCGCAUUUGGUUGCAUACUUCCAAUAAUAACGUCGGGUAUGAUGAAUUAACACGGUGUAUUUUGUCUGAUAUUCAAUGGAACUUCCUUCAGUGGGUCUAUCAAAUUAAUCACGAAAUAGGAAAAUUGAUGCUGAACGUGACUUUCCACUGUUACAUGUGGGUUAUUAUCAGACCAACAUAUAUUUGUAUAUUAUUUCCACAAUAUGCUGCUGAGAUAUCUUAAAGAUUUCAUAUUUGUGAUAUGUAGUUAAGAACCAGUCUUUUAUGGCUGUGCUAUGGAUAGUAGACAAGUGUUCUACAAAGAGUAAUUGCCACAUAGCUUCAGAAUAAUUCUUUGUGGAAUGCAUGUGUACGUGCAACCUGUACAUUUUGGGAUCUGUUUUUUGAUAAUUUGUUUUGUUAAAGUAUCCAUAAUGUAACUCUUGCUUAUAAGUCUAUGGAGAGUUGCCGUAUGAGGGGAGGAAGCUCUAGGGACGGGCCAGGCUCGGUCAUGUGACCAUUUUCACUCAUUUUUAAGCGUCUCAUCUAUGCACGGAUGCACCACCUACUGUUUUUAAUGAAACAACUUUUAUUGCGGACUUCGGAUAUAACGGACAAAUUUAUUACAGACAA